AGAGUUUGAUCCUGGCUCAGGAUGAACGCUGGCGGCGUGCCUAAUACAUGCAAGUCGAGCGAGAAUCUUCAGAAACAAUUCUUCGGAUGCGUUUCAGGAGAGGAAAGCGGCGGACGGGUGAGUAACGCGUAGGCAACCUGCCCCUGGCAGAGGGAUAGCCAUUGGAAACGAUGAUUAAAACCUCAUAACGCUGGAGUAACACAUGUUACAUCAGCCAAAGAUUUAUCGGCUGGGGAUGGGCCUGCGUCUGAUUAACUAGUUGGUGAGGUAACGGCCCACCAAGGUGACGAUCAGUAGCCGACCUGAGAGGGUGAUCGGCCACAUUGGAACUGAGACACGGUCCAAACUUCUACGGAAGGCAGCAGUAAGGAAUCUUGCACAAUGGGGGAAACCCUGAUGCAGCAACGCCGCGUGAACGAUGAAGGCCUUAGGGUUGUAAAGUUCUGAUCUGUGGGAAGAAGAAAGUGACGGUACCACAGGAGAAAGCCCCGGCUAAAUACGUGCCAGCAGCCGCGGUAAUACGUAUGGGGCAAGCGUUAUCCGGAAUUAUUGGGCGUAAAGAGUGCGUAGGUGGUUACCUAAGCGCAAGGUUUAAUCUUGAGGCUCAACCUCAUUCUGCCUUGCGAACUGGGCUACUUGAGUGCUGGAGGGGAAAGCGGAAUUCCUAGUGUAGCGGUGAAAUGCGUAGAUAUUAGGAAGAACACCGGUGGCGAAGGCGGCUUUCUGGACAGUAACUGACACUGAGGCACGAAAGCGUGGGGAGCAAACAGGAUUAGAUACCCUGGGUAGUCCACGCCGUAAACGAUGAGCACUAGUUGUUGGGUCCGAAUGGAUUCAGUGACGCAGUUAACGCAAUAAGUGCUCCGCCUGGG
rnacentral:rRNA from 1 species